GAGAGAUUGAAGACCUCUCGGUUGAGUGCGAACCGGAGGAAAGCCCGAUGGCCACCAGCCUGACUCCCUUGUUGGAGUAACGGAGGAUUUUCAAUACCUCCCAUGCCAAGCUGAAGCUUCUGAGAUGACAUUCCUCUCUUGGAUACUCGACGGCAACUCGAUUGGAAGCACAGACUCCUCCGACUGUAAAGGAGAUGUCUACCGACUCCCAAUGGUGGAUGGAACAACACUACCACAUCAUAGAAGGCUGCAAAUGGAUGCCGGCCCCUAAGGCUACGGAAGGCCCCA
rnacentral:lncRNA from 1 species